GAUGAAGAACGUAGCGAAAUGCGAUAAGUAAUGUGAAUUGCAGAAUUCAGUGAAUCAUCGAAUCUUUGAACGCACAUUGCGCCCGUCAGUAUUCUGGCGGGCAUGCCUGUUCGAGCGUCAUUACGCCCCUCAAGUCCCCUGUGGACUUGGUGUUGGGGAUCGGCGAGGCUGGUUUUCCAGCACAGCCGUCCCUUAAAUUAAUUGGCGGUCUCGCCGUGGCCCUCCUCUGCGCAGUAGUAAAACACUCGCAACAGGAGCCCGGCGCGGUCCACUGCCGUAAAACCCCCCAACUUUUUAUAGUUGACCUCGAAUCAGGUAGGACUACCCGCUGAACUUAAGCGUAUCAAUAAGCGGAGGA
rnacentral:misc_RNA from 1 species